GACGAACGCUGGCGGCGUGCUUAACACAUGCAAGUCGAACGAAGUGGCGAACGGGUGAGUAACGCGUAAUAAACCUGCCAUUCAGAGGGGGACAACAGUUGGAAACGACUGCUAAUACCGAAUACUGAAGGAGGGGUUUGCGUCUGAUUCUGUAGUUGGAGGGGUAACGGACCACCAAGGAGAUGAUCAGGAGCCGGUCUGAGAGGAUGAACGGCCAUAUUGGGACUGAGACACGGCCCAGACGCAUACGGGAGGCAGCAGUGGGGAAUCUUCCGCAAUGGACGAAAGUCUGACGGAGCAACGCCGCGUGAGUGAUGACGGCCUUCGGGUUGUAAAGCUCUGUUAAUCGGGACGCGGUACCGGAAUAGAAAGCCACGGCUAACUCCGUGCCAGCAGCCGCGGUAAUUC
rnacentral:rRNA from 1 species